AGCCGGUCCCAAGGGUAUGGCUGUUCGCCAUUUAAAGAGGUACGUGAGCUGGGUUUAGAACGUCGUGAGACAGUUUGGUCCCUAUCUUCCGUGGGCGCUGCAAGAUUGAGAGAGCCUGCUCCUAGUACGAGAGGACCGGAGUGGACGCACCUCUGGUGUAUCGGUUGUCACGCCAGUGGCAUUGCCGAGUAGCUAAGUGCGGAAGAGAUAACCGCUGAAAGCAUCUAAG
rnacentral:rRNA from 1 species